rnacentral:lncRNA from 1 species
GUUCACAGCUGCACGCUUUCCUCAAACAACGGAGUACGAAGGUUCUUGUCAAAAGUAUGUGGGCAAGAAUGCAAAAGAUAUGGUGGGAUUACACUGACAAGAGUUAAAAUCGUGGAGUUUUACCUCCAAAAACUGCUUGUUCCAGUGACCAACAGUGGCAAGUACAAUAAGAAUUAAGAGCAGUUAUUGCCUCCACUACAGAGUACAUAAUACUGGGUGCGUAUAAUAAUGGGCAUACAUAUACGUACUUAGGUUUACAGUUGUCAAGUGGUGUAUAAUAAGACAUAACUGCAGUACAUGAUGGACAAAAGUUGAAAUCUGUAUCUAGGGCAAGUAGGAGCGAUGUCACGAUAUGGAAAACAGGCAUGCCAGUGAUUUCAUCCAUGAAUAAACCAAGCUUUACACUGCAGGCACAAUGACAUCCCAAAGACUUUAUUAGCAAAAUGUAUCAUCAAAGAUAUAUGUAUAUAAUAUAAAGCUGUUCAGUCUGAACAGCAACAAUUUGUGUAACCUAUGCUGUCAAGAAUAAAAUGUGCAAACCAGUUAUCUUUUCAAACAUUGCAGCACCACUCGGGAGACGAGGCAGCACAGCC